GAUGAACGCUAGCUACAGGCUUAACACAUGCAAGUCGAGGGGCAGCGGAUUGAAGCUUGCUUCAAUUGCCGGCGACCGGCGCACGGGUGAGUAACGCGUAUCCAACCUUCCGCAUACUCGGGGAUAGCCUUCUGAAAAGGAGAUUAAUACCCGAUGGUAUCAAGAGAUUGCAUGAUAGAACUAUUAAAGAAUUUCGGUCAUCGAUGGGGAUGCGUUCCAUUAGGUUGUUGGCGGGGUAACGGCCCACCAAGCCUUCGAUGGAUAGGGGUUCUGAGAGGAAGGUCCCCCACAUUGGAACUGAGACACGGUCCAA
rnacentral:rRNA from 1 species